AUGCUGCUGCUCCCUCCAUUGCUGCAGCCGAUGCCUCCUACUGCUCUUACUGUUGCUUGCUCGAGCAUCGCUGCUGUCGGAGUUUCGUCUGCGCGCACCCCUGCUGGUUCGGAUUCGCCUGUGCGCGGCUCCGCGUCCUCGCCCGCAGGCCCCGGCCUCCCCUGCCGCGCUGGCCCCCUGCGCCUGCCGGCUUGCCGCCCGCCCGGCCAGCUCCGGGUCGGUGCGCCCCCGGCCCCCUGCUCCGCACUCGCCCGCCAGCCCGCCACUCUGGCCGGGUCCUCCACAGUCGGCUGUAUCGCCCUGCGUCGGCUGCUUCGCGCCUCCUCCCGCGUCCGCCUCGCCUCUGCCGUGUCCGGCUCCUACCCAAGCCGGCUCCUGCGCGCGCCUGCCGGCUGGCGCCCGCGACCCGGCCUCCGCGCCAUCUCCGUCCCGCGGCCUCGCCCCUCCACGGCUCCGACGAGCUGGCCGACUUCCCCGAGCGCGCUCGCCCCGCUCCACCAUCCGUGCGGCCCGGACGCCGCCUCCCCGCGCGAUCCGGCCGCCACCUCCCUCGGCCCCGCCCGCAGCCCGGACGGCCGGCUCCUCCCGCCGCCCGGCGUCCGACCUCCCGGGACCUCCGCGCCGGCUCCGCCUUCUCGCCUAGCUGGCCUCGAGCGUCCGGCUCCUUCCCUCUGGGUCUUUCGUGCCGGCUCGCCGGCUCCGCCCUGGCCGGUUCCCCCAACCCAGCCGCCUCUGCUGCCGGCCUCCACGCCCGGCCCCGGCCGCUUGCCGUCUCCUCCCCGAGCCGGACGGCUGGCUCCGCCGCUUGCCGGCUCCAUCGCCUGCCGGCUUCGCCCUCCACCCGGCCGGCCUGGCCGGCUCCCCCGCUCCCUAGCUGCGCGCCUCCCGCAUCGCCGUCCGCCUGCUGGCCCCUGGCCGCCUCCGUCUCGCGCGCACACCGAGCCCCUCCGUCACGCCCAGCUCCGGCUGCGUCGCGCCUGCCCGGCCUCCCCAGCGGCCGGCUUUGCCUCCAUCUGGCCCCGAGCACCGUGUCGGCUUCGGCUCGGCCUACCCCGCGCUGUCCAGCCCCAAGGGCCGCGCCGGCUUCGCCUCCGCCCGCGCGCCCGCGGCCGCCGGCUCCCUCCCGCGCCGCCCGACUCUGUCUGCGCGACCGGCUUCACCAGCGCCUGGCGGUCGGGUCGCCGCGCCCCUCCGCUCCGCCCUGACCACAACCCGGCUCCGGGUGCUCGGCUCGCCGCCUCACCUCCGGGCGCCCGGGUGCGCCUCAGCCGGCUCCCGUUGUUCGCUGCCGCAGCCUGUCGGUGUCGCUCGGGCAGCCGGGAGAGAGAAAAAUAA
rnacentral:rRNA from 1 species